rnacentral:rRNA from 1 species
AUUGAACGCUGGCGGCAGGUCUAACACAUGCAAGUCGAACGAGUGGCGGCCGGGUGAACACUGACUGGGAACCGGCCUGAUGGAGGGGGAUAACGACUGGAAACGGUAGCUAAUACAGCAUACCAUCGGAUGUGCCCAGAUGGGAUUAGCUAGCAGGUGGGGUAAAGGCACACCUAGGCGACACUCCCUCGCUGGUCUGAGAGGAUGACCAGCCACACUGGAACUGAGACACAGUCCAGACUCCGACGGGAGGCAGCAGUGGGGAAUAUUGCACAAUGGGCGCAAGCCUGAUGCAGCCAUGCCGCGUGUAUGAAGAAGGUCUUCGGAUUGUAAAGCACUUUAAGUUGGGAGGCGUUGCCAACAGAAUAAGCACCGGCGAACUUCGUGCCAGCAGCCGCGGUAAUUC